rnacentral:rRNA from 1 species
AGCGAACGCUGGCGGCAGGCUUAACACAUGCAAGUCGAGCGGGCACCUUCGGCUGUCAGCGGCAGACGGGUGAGUAACACGUGGGAACGUGCCCUUUGGUCGGAACAACUCCGGGAAACUGGAGCUAAUACCGGAUAAGCCCUUCGGGGAAAGAUUUAUCGCCAAAGGAUCGGCCCGCGUCUGAUUAGCUUGUUGGUGAGGUAAUGGCUCACCAAGGCGACGAUCAGUAGCNGGUCUGAGAGGAUGAUCAGCCACACUGGGACUGAGACACGGCCCAGACUCCUACGGGAGGCAGCAGUGGGGAAUAUUGGACAAUGGGCGCAAGCCUGAUCCAGCCAUGCCG